rnacentral:rRNA from 1 species
AACGAACGCUGGCGGCAGGCUUAACACAUGCAAGUCGAGCGCCCCGCAAGGGGAGCGGCAGACGGGUGAGUAACGCGUGGGAAUCUACCGAGCCCUACGGAAUAGCCCCGGGAAACUGGAAUUAAUACCGUAUACGCCCUACGGGGGAAAGAUUUAUCGGGGUUUGAUGAGCCCGCGUUGGAUUAGCUAGUUGGUGGGGUAAAGGCCUACCAAGGCGACGAUCCAUAGCUGGUCUGAGAGGAUGAUCAGCCACAUUGGGACUGAGACACGGCCCAAACUCCUACGGGAGGCAGCAGUGGGGAAUAUUGGACAAUGGGCGCAAGCCUGAUCCAGCCAUGCCGCGUGAGUGAUGAAGGUCUUAGGAUUGUAAAGCUCUUUCACCGGUGAAGAUAAUGACGGUAACCGGAGAAGAAGCCCCGGCUAACUUCGUGCCAGCAGCCGCAGUAA